rnacentral:tRNA from 1 species
GGGGGCAUAGCUCAGUUGGUAGAGCACCUGCUUUGCAAGCAGGGGGUCGUCGGUUCGAAUCCGUCUGCCUCCACCA